GCUUAACCAAGCAGCUUAAUUUGACAAAUGACCCAUUUCAUUAAUGGCACCCAGAGUGGCCUGACCAGGAGGGGGCCGGUUCUUUCAGCCAGGGACCCAAAACCUUGCAGUCCUUCCCUGAAAUUCCGGGAACACAGGGCACGUGCUGCACUGUGACAGGUGUUUGGUCCCCUCCCUGUGGCUUCUUCCGAAGUCCCUACCCAGUUUCCUGUUUCUUCCUGAGGGGGAGUAGCCACAGGCAGGGAGUUACAGGGGUGAGGAUAAAGGCUGUGGUGCCAGCCGUCCUGGACACUGAGGGACAGCAGUGACCAUGAGUGACUUCAAGCAAGUGCGGGUGCAGCAGCUGGACCCCCUGGAGGAGGAGCUGGCGGCCAGCAGCGCCAGAGGCUCCCUCAGCCACCACGCACUCCAGCCGCCCUCCAGAGCAGGCAGCUCUGCAGACCGCCUGUGCCGCCCCUGCCCCUGGGACUGGACGUUCUUCCAAGGACACUGUUACUUCUUCUCCAAGUCCCAGCGGAACUGGCACGACUCCGCCACCGCCUGCCAGGAAGAGGGGGCCCAACUAGUCGUCAUCAACAGCGCUGAGGAGCAGGUGCAUGGUGGGCCCCAUCCUGGUCUGGGGCAGGCAUCUGGCCACUGGCCACGUGGGAGGAGACGUUGGUCAGAACAGGGUUUUCAGGAGCAGGGGCUGCUUCCUCCAGUGGAAGGGAGGAGACGGGCAUGGACAGGGGGUCCCAGGCAGCUUGCAGGGAAAAUCUCAGAAAGUCUGGACAUGCAUAAGUGCUUUGGGAGACACACCUAGAGGGUGACCUGGUGCGCUGGCCAGGGGAGCCGCCUGCUCUCAGCGAUAACUCGGGGGCGCCGUGCCCAUCUCCCUGGUGUAAACCUGCCCCCCCCCCCACCCCGUGGUCGCAUUCCAUGACUAAAACACUCAGGUUCCUCCAGGUGAACUGGGCUGCACAAAAUUACUAUCUUUGGGUUCUGUGAUGGCUCCUCUGACCUUAGGUGUCCUUGGAACAAGAGAGAGAGAGACAGAGAGAGAGAGAGAGUUGAGCCCUUUUAUUGGGGAAAAGCCAUUCAAAUGAGGCUGGGGUCAGGAUUCAGGGGGCUGAGUCUGGCUUCCUGAGGUCUGCUGUCAGCAGGUUGACUGACAUCUAGGAAGGCCACACCCAAGGGCAGAGCAAGAGAAGGGGACACACAAAGGGCAUUUCCAUGGAACCUUCUAUCCCAAACAGGACAAAGGGGAAGUAUUACAAAAUAAUAAGUGAGUGUAGCUCAGCCCCGGGGGUGUAUCUGCUCGGAAGACUGGCCUUGCUAUCUGAGCAGGGGAAAAGCAGAGUCAGGAGCCAUGGCUCUACCACAGACCGCAGUGAUCUUUCAGAUCCCCGUGGUGCAUCAGGACCGGAAGGCGUGGUCACUCAAUGUGGCUCCCCACACCCGUGGACGAUGGCACAUGCCUGUAAUCCCAGUAGCUGGGGAGUCUGAGGCAGGAGGAUUUUGAGUUCAAAACCAGCCUUAGCAGCUUACCAAGGCCCUAAGUAACUCAGUGAGACCCUCUCUCUAAAUAAAAUACUAAAAAGAAUGGGCUGGGGAUGUGGCUCAGCCGUCAAGCACCCCUGGGUUCAAUCCCUGGUACAAAAAGAAAAGUAGUGGGGCUGGGGAUGUGGCUCAAGCGGUAGCGCGCUCGCCUAGCAUGUGUGCGGCCCGGGUUCGAUCCUCAGCAGCACCACAUACCAACAAAGAUGUUGUGU
ensembl:lincRNA